AUAGGCAACGUUUCGGGCCGAAACCCUUCUUCAGACUGUCUGGGGAAGGGAUGUCUGUAGUGUGGACAUCCCACUCCAUUGUAAGACCCACCCCAAUCCUGUGACUUCCUAAAGUUUAGUUGGUUAAAACAGUCUUGUACACAAAUCAAGGAUCCAUCCCAAAGCCAGUUCCAACAUUACCCGACUUGCAUUUCUUGAUGGCAAAUAUGUGUGCUCUCCCUCAACUGUGGGGAGACAUGUCAGUCCGUGUGUCUCAGUUCACUGCCUGCAUUGAACAAGCCCCCACCACUGAGAACCAAUGGGCUGAAUUUGAUAUUGCAACCAUGACUUUUUGGACGAGAGAAUUUUCUGACCAUCAGUAUGGGCCACGUUGCUUGUCCUGUCAGCUACUGGUAACGAGUAACAUUUCUACCUCCUGAUCUGAAUUAUUUAAGCUGCCGUUCCUGUUUCAGAGCGCUGGGGUUUUUUUUUUAACGUAUUGCCGUUAUACUCUCACCUCAAUCAUAGUAAAGUCAUAGCAAUUUGGAAAGGAUUACAAAAACACAAGCAUGUUCAGAAGUUUGAAAGAACCAUCAUAUUGGGCAAAGUUUAAGCUAAACAGUGUCUCUCCCACUUUUGGAUUGAUGUUGCAUGAAAUAACAUGGUGAUCAUUUUUGUAAAGCCAUGGUGUCAUUGGUAAGUAACCAGAAAUGCAUCUAUAUUUCUAUUGGCAUGAAUUGGAUAUGCAAUACUCUGUGAGCAACAUUAGCAGCUAGUAUGGAUUAAUUUUGGUGUGACAGCGGUUCGACCGAUUAAUUUGCUAGUACAUGUGAGUAUCAAUUAUACAACAAGGAAUAUCAAGAUGCUAAAAAUAUUCAUGGCUCUUGCCCAAACUGUAAGGUGUAUAUACGAGACUUGGUUCAACUCCACUGUCAAAAACUGUUUUUUCAGUUUGCUCUGCUGUACCUGUCAAAAUUUAGUUACUGUAAAAUCUUUUUAAGAAAAGCGCCCUAAUUUGUAAAGAGUAUGAUAAUGAUAAUGGCUAAAAAAAAAAAAUUUAAAAAAAAUUAAUUUUACGACACAUUGUGGAAUGGAAAUUUAUCUGCAAGAUUUUUGCAGUUUUGGAAGAAAUGAUUCUUGCAUGUUGCAUAUGUUGUGAUUUGAGAAGCAUUUAUCAGUGACUAAAAUGCCUUCUGCAAACUUUCAUUGGUACAUUAUCCAGAGGUGGUCUGAAAAUAAUUCAUCACCAAUGCGUGGACUUUAUGCUGUUUUAUGUCAUAUUACUCAGCUUGAUUUGUCCGUCAUUUCUGUACUUCGUAAUCUUUAAUCUUGUAAAACUGUGGUGUGUAUCUCCCAUUGCCUGAAAUGAAUGGCUUUGUAUAAAUCAAUGUCAUAAGCUGUUCCCCCCCCUCUUGCCAUAUUUCCUAACACAUUAAAUAUAGAUGUUUGUAAA